rnacentral:rRNA from 1 species
AUUGAACGCUGGCGGCAGGCCUAACACAUGCAAGUCGAGCGGAUGAAGGGAGCUUGCUCCUGGAUUCAGCGGCGGACGGGUGAGUAAUGCUUAGGAAUCUGCUUGGUAGUGGGGGAUAACGUCUGGAAACGGGCGCUAAUACCGCAUACGACCUGAGGGAGAAAGUGGGGGAUCUUCGGACCUCACGCUAUCAGAUGAGCCUAGGUCGGAUUAGCUAGUUGGUGGGGUAAAGGCCUACCAAGGCGACGAUCCGUAACUGGUCUGAGUGGAUGAUCAGUCACACUGGAACUGAGACGCGGUCCAGACUCCUGCGGGAGGCAGCAGUGGGGAAUAUUAGGCAGUGGGCGAGAGCCUGAUACAGCCAUGCCGCGUGUGUGAAGAAGGUCUUCGGAUUGGAAAGCACUUUAAGUUGGGGGGAAGGGCAGUAAGUUAAUACGUUGCUGUAUUGACGGUACCGGCAGAAUAAGCACCGGCUAACUACGUG